rnacentral:tRNA from 1 species
GGGCCGAUAGUUCAAUGGUAGAAUGCUUCUUCGGCUGAGAAGAGGUUCUGGGUUCGAAUCCCAGUCGGUCCA